UUGAGUUUGGGAGUCUCGCGUGAGAUGAGAUGAGGGAAGAAAGUGAGUGGAGAAUUAAUUUUACAAAAGUAAGCAAAAAAAAAAAAAAAAGAAAUUUAUAGAUAGCUUUAAUGUCGGUUUAAAACCGACAUCAAUUCUUCCUCUCUGAUGUCGGUUUAAAACCGACAUUAAACAUCCGCGAAAAACUAGUUCCCUCUUAAAAUAUCCAGACCUGUUCAGACUCUCCAUCCACGAAACCGUUCCUACGCCCAAACCCUAGAUUCUUUCUCUUUUCGCUGCUUCUCACCGUCCAACGCCGCCGCUCCUUGCGGUUGUUGCCGCUGCUCUUUGCCUUCCUACACCGCCAAGUGAUUAAAGGUAUUUGAAGUUUGAAGUGUUUGUUUUGGAUGGGCUGAAGUAUGCUUCUUCACAUGAGUGGGUGAAGCAUGAAGGCUCUGUUGCUACCGUUGGCAUCACUGUCCAUGCUUAGAAUCUGCUCGGUUUAUUUCUGCAAUAUGGAGCUUUUAUCACAUCUGGCUUUUGCUCUUCCAUCUAGUUCUUUCUUAUGGGUGCUCAUUCAUGGGAUGCUCAAAAUGAGAACCAAAACGUAAUACGCUUCAAACUUCAUACCCUUGUGGAUCAAAUCAUUUUACUUUGGUUUGUAACUAAUUCCCUUUAGAUCAUUAGCAUUUUUUCAGUCUAAUUUCUUUGAAAGUUUAGAUUAGGAAUGGUAAGAUUAAUUAGAUUUUAUGGAAGGGAUUAGAUGGAAAGUAAUAGGAAGAUUUUUUUUUUUUUAAAAUAAUAGAACACUCGACGCUCUAAUAUUUGGCUUCGGGAGAUCCUGACAACACAUGAUGCCGUUUACUGCAUAGUUCUUAGGAUAUCCCGACGCUGCAUUUUUUGGUGUCAGUAAUGCCUCUUCUGACACACUUCGUCUGACCUCGGUCCCGACGCGCAUUUGUGCGUCGGGAGAUCCAAUUCCGACGCAUUUUCGUAUAUCUUUCGAUGAUUUUGUACAUCGGGAGGUUUGUAAUUUCUUGUAGUGCAAGUCGUGCCACCAUUGUUGCGUUGUCUCAGAUCGUCUUGCCGUCCUAGAUCUUCGACAUCUUAGAUCUUAAAUGUGUUGUCCAGAUCGUUUCUUUGGUGCCUAGUCGUUGCGUUUCAUUUAGUGCCUAGAUUUGUUGUGCUCGUGGCCAGAUCCGUUGCAUUCAUGCCUGAUCUGUUUGUGUGUGUUCGUGCCCAGUUUUGUUGUAGAUACGUUGUACUCAGAUUGUUGUGUUCGGGUAAGAUUUGUUCAUUAAAAAAUCGCUCCAAAAAUGUAAACAAAAACUACAAAACCCCAAAACAAAAACAGUAAAAUAUGUCUCCAAAAACACACAAAAAGAUUUCUUCACCUUUACAUCCAUCACAAUGAUGUUAACUCUAAGAUUGUUGUGUUUGAGUCUAAGAGUGUGAACUUUGAGCUAA